CGGGUAGUAGUUCGGCCGUAGGCCGAUUUCGUUGAAGCCGUAUUCGCGGUACAGCGCGAUCGCCCGCGGGUUCGACGGCCGCACUUCCAGG
rnacentral:tRNA from 1 species